rnacentral:rRNA from 1 species
AACGGCCGCGGUAUCCUAACCGUGCAAAGGUAGCAUAAUCAUUUGCCUAUUAAUUGUAGGCUAGAAUGAACGGGUUAACGAAAUAAAAACUGUCUCAAUUAAUCACCUAAAAAUUAUUAUCUAUCUGAAGAAAGGUAGAUAAACUCGAAGGACAAGAAGACCCUAUAGAGCUUAAUUUUACUUAUAGAAUAAAACUAUAAAAAUAUUCGGUUGGGGCGACCCCGGGCUAAAUAAUCACCCAAUAUAUACAAGAUAAAUUAAUCAAAUAAUUGACCCUUAAAAGAUCAUAAAACCAAGCUACCUUAGGGACAACAGGCUAAUCCCACUCAAGAGUCCUUAUCAACAGUGGGGUUUGGCACCUCGAUGUUGGCUUAGG